CAGAGAUGGCUGGAAACGUAGGGGGGUUGAGGAUGACGAGAUGGAGUAUAGUGGUGGAGUCGUGAGAGUAAAGGUUAAAGAAGAGGACGCCUGAGGAGCCGUUGCAGUUCUUGUCGGGUAGAGUAGGGAUGAGGGAUGUUCGGUUCGCAGUGUUGUACUGAGAUAAGUGGAGUUCAUGGUGUUGGCGAAAUGUAAGGACGAGGAUGGGGUCACAUCGGUGAGUCCGAUCACGAUGAUUAGCGAUUUGGAGAGAAAAGUAGGAGAGAUUGAGUCUGCUAAAGUUCUUUGUGAUGGAAGUUUGGUGGUGGAUCGUAUCAAUACUAAACAGUAUGAGAAGGAGCUCAAACUCAAGCAGGUGAAAAUCAUCACUCCCCAAUCAGUCAACAAUCAAUCAUCAAUCAGAAGACACACCUCCUAUUUCCUAACCUAUCACAGUUCCUUCUCCAUGGUUUAAAAACCCCAUCAUUUGUUUGUUCUAGAGCUGAAUCUCUCUGUAAAUGCCAUGUCUGUAGGUCUCUGUGUUUCACUCUCGCUUUGUGUCUUAACCUCUCUUUUGUUUAAGCACCUCAUAGCACUUUGUCAUCACCUGUGAGUAUUGUUUUUGGUUAUGGUGUCUGUUUGUUGCUGGUGGGAAAAGGGGGAAACCAAGACAAGUCGCCCAUGGGCAUACACUACCCGUAGGUGAACUUUGUUAAAUACACUAGUUAGAACUGGGCGGACCACCCACUGUAUUUUUGGUUAGUUAGUUAGCUGUUGUUAAAGUAGGCUAGUCAAGCUUAGGGGUGUUUUUGAAUACUUAUUGUUUCUUUCCUUGGGUCCAGCUCAGCCCCUUUUCCUGCUCCCCCCAUUACCGUGUGUUUAUAAAUAAACCUAGAGUUUGACGGUA